AAUGAACGCUGGCGGCAGGCCUAACACAUGCAAGUCGAACGGGUCCUUCGGGACUAGUGGCGGACGGGUGAGUAACGCGUGGGAACGUACCUUUUGCUUCGGAAUAGCCUCGGGAAACUGGGAGUAAUACCGAAUGUGCCCUACGGGGGAAAGAUUUAUCGGCAAAAGAUCGGCCCGCGUUGGAUUAGGUAGUUGGUGGGGUAAUGGCCUACCAAGCCGACGAUCCAUAGCUGGUUUGAGAGGAUGAUCAGCCACACUGGGACUGAGACACGGCCCAGAACUCCUACGGGAGGCAGCAGUGGGGAAUCUUAGACAAUGGGCGCAAGCCUGAUCUAGCCAUGCCGCGUGAUCGAUGAAGGCCUUAGGGUUGUAAAGAUCUUUCGUGGGGGAAGAUAAUGACGGUACCCCAAGAAGAAGCCCCGGCUAACUCCGUGCCAGCAGCCGCGG
rnacentral:rRNA from 1 species